UAGGCGGGGAAGCAGCGGCUCCCUGAACCGGCAAUCCGCUAUAGCCGGGCUGAAUGCCUUUCCCGACGGAAGUUAUGGAAGGAUGCGCGCCGUAAGGAACGUAGAUAUCAAGGUCUUAUGCAACGUAAACCCGCGAACCGUGUCAGGUCGGGGACGAAGCAGCACUAAACGGUGCUUUGCGUGUGCCAUAAGGAAGCUUUGAAGGAGUCACCUGCGGCGUUUCC
rnacentral:SRP_RNA from 1 species